rnacentral:rRNA from 1 species
CAGCCGCCGCGGUAAUACAGAGGGUGCGAGCGUUAAUCGGAUUUACUGGGCGUAAAGCGUGCGUAGGCGGCUUCUUAAGUCGGAUGUGAAAUCCCUGAGCUUAACUUAGGAAUUGUAUUCGAUACUGGGAAGCUAGAGUAUGGGAGAGGAUGGUAGAAUUCCAGGUGUAGCGGUGAAAUGCGUAGAGAUCUGGAGGAAUACCGAUGGCGAAGGCAGCCAUCUGGCCUAAUACUGACGCUGAGGUACGAAAGCAUGGGGAGCAAACAGGAUUAGAUACCCGGGUAGUCCCUGUCUCUUAUAC